GACGAACGCUGGCGGCGUGCUUAACACAUGCAAGUCGAGCGGUAAGGCCCUUUCGGGGGUACACGAGCGGCGAACGGGUGAGUAACACGUGGGUGACCUGCCUUUAGCUCUGGGAUAAGCCUGGGAAACUGGGUCUAAUACCGGAUAUGACUCCGCGGUGCAUGCUGUGGGGUGGAAAGCCUUGUGCGGCUGGAGAUGGGCCCGCGGCCUAUCAGCUUGUUGGUGGGGUGANGGCCUACCAAGGCGACGACGGGUAGCCGGCCUGAGAGGGCGACCGGCCACACUGGGACUGAGACACGGCCCAGACUCCUACGGGAGGCAGCAGUGGGGAAUCUUGCGCAAUGGGCGAAAGCCUGACGCAGCGACGCCGCGUGCGGGAAGAAGGCCUGG
rnacentral:rRNA from 1 species